rnacentral:rRNA from 1 species
AACGAACGCUGGCGGCGUGGAUAAGACAUGCAAGUCGAACGGGGUUACUUCUGUAGCAAUACAGGAGUAAUUCAGUGGCGAACGGGUGCGUAACACGUGGGCAAUCUGCCGAGAAGUGGGGGAUAGCUCGCCGAAAGGCGAAUUAAUACCGCAUGUGAUCAGGGAAGACAUCUUUCCGACAUCAAAGCCGGGGCAACCUGGCGCUUUUGAGGAGCCCGCGGCCUAUCAGCUAGUUGGUGGGGUAACGGCCUACCAAGGCUUUGACGGGUAGCUGGUCUGAGAGGAUGGCCAGCCACAUUGGGACUGAGAGACGGCCCAGACUCCUACGGGAGGCAGCAGUGGGGAAUCUUGCGCAAUGGCCGAAAGGCUGACGCAGCGACGCCGCGUGGGGGAGUGAAGCAUUUCGGUGUGUAAACCCCUCGUUGCCCGGGACGAACACGAGGUUUCGACCUCGCUGACGGUA